ensembl:lincRNA
GGGGGCGGGGCCUGGGCUGCGUGCGCGUCGCCGGGUGUCCCGGGCCUCACCUCCAGCCUCCUGAACGUCUGGGCUGUUCUCCGAGGCCGGUCCUCAGAGGACCUUCUCCUCAGAGGUCGCCGCACGAGACGUUCAUCAGCAUUUCCCGCACUUCGAGAAAAUGGCUUCCUUCCGGCCAGUGAAGACGGCCCCUCAGAGCACUGGUACCAGCCCUGAAGACAAGUCCGCCUCUUGUCUGGAGAAAGUUCCUGCAGUCAUCUCAACUCCUGCUUCACAGAAAACAACUUCAGCCAGAGUUUUGAGUGGGAUAAAAUGGGAUCAAAAGAUGUUCUCAAAGCAGGCAGCCUAUUCAGCUCUCUCAGAGUUGAACUUAAAAAGCAGGGAGCAAAUUAAGAUGGAGGAGCUUCUUGCCUGGGACACGGCGUACUGCACGGCACUCUGGAGCUCGGUAAAGGUCAUGCUUUCCGUCUCGUCACACCGAAAAGACAAAAUUUUUCUGCAUUGGGUUGCUGUAAUAAACUCCUUUCCUUUUUAAUUGCUCGGCAUUUGUAACUACUGCUUAUGCUCCAGAAGAAGAUACUUUGAUGAUUGCUUAGAGUGUGUGAGGGGGGGAAGGAAGGGAGAGAAAGAAGAGAAAAAGAAAAAAGAAGAAAGGAGGAAAGGAAAACCAAAGGGCAGGCAAGCUGAGAGAGACAUCUUAGAAAUGAGAUCAUCUUUUCAUGUGUGCAAUUUAACGAUUUCUUUCGUUUGAAGCAAUGUAAAAAGCAAGUAAUUAUUGUUAUUCCUAAUAUCCUAGUGCCAAAUUGUAAACCAAGGGCUCUGGAGAAAUAAAUGGGGUGCUAGGACUUAAUGAUCCUGUGUGCGAUAGAUCACGGGUGAUAAGAUAUAUUAGUGCCAUUAUAUAAUUUGAUCAGGUAGCCAAGAAGCAUGUCAGCAAGCUCACUUGCAUUUAUGUGUCUGUUUGCUGGGUGCUCUGAGUUCCUCGCCCUGGAAAAUAAAAGCAAUUUGCAGAAAUGCACGUGGCUGUGGGGCGCCUCCUCGGGUGAACACCUCGGGCAUUCUGGAAGGCUUCGUCCCAGGAGCGGGUAUCAGAGGCUCCCCCUGUAGCCGGUAAGGCUGCUUCUCCAUGCAGCCCUGGAAAUGCUAAGCGGGUAAUUAACAAGUCACAAGGCACAGGUGUGCCAGGUGAAGUUUGGUAAAUUGCUUUUGAUCUAAAUUGAGAUGCUUUGGGGAUUUAACUUCUUAGACAAAAAAGGGCAUAAAUAAAUAAUCAGGGUUUUGAGGUUGGGGCUUGCCAGCGAGCUCUAAAACAUCUUAAUGCACUGGAGGCGAGCCCUCGACUCACCCAGCAUUCCGUCAUGUCGGUUCACCUGAUUCGCUCAGAGCUCCGGCUUGGCAGCGUGUCCUGGGAGUGUGGAGGCGCGCGAGUUGCUCUCAAAUGCCUGCAGUUUCCUUGCUGACCUCCUAAGAGGGAAAAGGGGAAGAGACAUGAGCCCCUGAGCGGCUAGGAUGUCAGCCCGUCAUCAGGGGUCAUGCUGACUGUGGGGUGGGGGAGUGUGCCAGCCAGGGGAGGCCCUGGGGUGCCCACCAUCAGCACUGGGCACGAGGCCCGUGUGUGCAAGGCUCACGUCGAGUGCCCGCGAGGACCCACUGGACAAGGAAGCCGCAGGGGUCAGAAGGGUGACCCUCGGCCCUUGGAAGCAGGACCACAGGGAUGACAAGGGUGCUGGCGGCUCUCUCGAGCCUUCCGGGCCACUCUCGGGCUCUCUGUGCUGGACUUGGGGGCCACCCUCUUUGGGCCCUCACUUCUCCUGGAGCAGCAAGGGGCCCGCGGCAGACCGGCCCCCUCCCUGCCCGGUUGGAACUGUUGGGGUCCAUCCUCCUCCCAGGGCCAGUGGUCUUUGGAAGUGGGUCUCCCUGGCCCCCGGAUGCUGGCAGCCAGGUGGCCCACAUGGGGUGACUCCGGGGGCGCGUCACCUCCACGGUCAGGGCCCCUGGGGCCGCGAGCCUGCAGGGCCUGGAUCGCACGCGUGCUCAGCUGCUCUGUUCACAGUGGGCUCUUCUCCCCACUGCAUCUGUGCUGACACCACAGACCGCCUCACCCAGGAGGUUGUGCAUCGUCCUAGGACUAAGCCCCGACGUGCGGUAGUCAUCUUAGUAAGCACAUGACCCUGGAGGGAAAUGUACUCCCCCGCUGGAGCUCACUUGGGAUUGUUUUCACUGGUUUGCUUAUUCACCCACUGGAAACUUCAGCAGGAAGUGGAGCUGUGCUGGGCAGAGAGGACGUGCAAGUAUCAGAAGGCACUCUUGCCAGAGCGUGGACGUUAGUUAAUUCCACUAGAACGUGAGUGUCACCUGCCUGGAGAAGCAGAGCAUGUGAGGGCGUACAGAGGGGCUGGGGGAGCUUUGUGGGUGCGCAGGGUUCAAUGGAGCAGAGCCCAGAGCAGAUGAGUCUGUGGGAGGAGCAGCCUGUAUAAAGGCCCUGGGGUGGGAGGAGGGUCAGAGACACGGGGUGUGGGCUUGGCGGAGGCUCAUGCGGGGGCAGGGGCAGGUGUGGGGUUGAUCUAGGGGGUCUUGGAAAGACAUUGGAGGUUUGGGGCACACGCUGACCAGCUCAGAUUGUGGUCGUAAGAUCACUGAGGCCGCUGGGUGGGGAUGGGCGUGUGUGCGGGGUCUCGGGUUCAGCUGGUGAGACGGGCUGUCAGGAAGUACAUGACAGCGGCCCCUUUAUUGGAAACCCGGCAGGCCUUUGGGAGCAGCUUGAAAGUGAAUUUGAGGAGCUCUAGAGGGGGGUGUCCAGAAGGAGCCCUGGGGUAUCGCUCCUGCCAUGGGGUGAGGCAGGGGUCCUUGGGGGAGGCCGAUGGGGGAGGAGAUUAUCACUUAUUUCCAGAGUCUUCC